ACAGCAGCCGCCGCGGUAAUACGUAGGGGGCAAGCGUUAUCCGGAAUUACUGGGUGUAAAGGGAGCGUAGACGGUUAAACAAGUCUGAAGUGAAAUGCCGGGGCUCAACCCCGGAGCUGCUUUGGGAACUGUAGAACUGGAGUGUCGGAGGGGUAAGCGGAAUUCCCAGUGUAGCGGUGAAAUGCGUAGAUAUUGGGAGGAACACCGGCGGCGAAGGCGGCUUACUGGACGACAACUGACGUUGAGGCUCGAAGGCGUGGGUAGCAAACAGGAUUAGAUACCCCUGUAGUCCCUGUCUCUUAUAC
rnacentral:rRNA from 1 species